rnacentral:rRNA from 1 species
CGCGACCCCAGUCAGGCGG